CCUACGGGAGGCAGCAGUGAGGAAUAUUGGUCAAUGGGCGCGAGCCUGAACCAGCCAAGUAGCGUGAAGGAUGACUGCCCUAUGGGUUGUAAACUUCUUUUAUAUGGGAAUAAAAUGUUCCACGUGUGGGAUUUUGUAUGUACCAUAUGAAUAAGGAUCGGCUAACUCCGUGCCAGCAGCCGCGGUAAUACGGAGGAUCCGAGCGUUAUCCGGAUUUCUUGGGUUUAAAGGGAGCGUAGGUUGGUUGUUAAGUCAGUUGUGAAAGUUUGGGGCUCAACCGUAAAAUUGCAGUUGAAACUGGCAGUCUUGAGUACAGUAGAGGUGGGCGGAAUUCGUGGUGUAGCGGUGAAAUGCUUAGAUAUCACGAAGAAAUCCGAUUGCGAAGGCAGUUCAAUGGACUGCAACUGACACUGAGGCUCGAAAGUGUGGGUAUCAAACAGGAUUAUAUACCCUUGUAGUC
rnacentral:rRNA from 1 species